UCCUCUCUGAGCUCAAACUUGAAAGUUGGUAUGAUUCACAGGAUUGGACAGGGCCCAACAGAGAUGCAUCUCGUGUUUUCUGGACAGGGCCUAGAUUCAAGCGGAGCUGAAAGAACUGGAGUCUAUUGGCCUGAUUACCCAUGACCCAAAAUCUUCUAGAACAAGGAGAGUCAGCACAUACUGAGUGCUAACGAAGUGCCAAGCACUGUCCUUAAAACUCCUGCUCUCCCAGCCCUGUGGGGAAGGGACCCUAGGCUAUUCCAGGAAGGGCCAGAAACUUGGAACUCUAGACACUCACUUCCCUACUAUCAGAACCAGCUCUGCCAAGCGGUGCCCACACGUGUUUUGUGUCUGUGUGGUGCUGAAGGUACAAGCCACAUUACAGAGGCCCGGUCUGGAGGAAUCACGAGCGUCUCGGGUAGAAAAUGGAGACGAUCCCGCUGCAGAAGCAAGUCCUCUGGCUUUCAGAAGGCCUGAGGCACUGCAGAGGCUACCAGGAUUGCUUCAGCUCCUUCACACUGCUUCUCGGUGUCAGCAUCUGUUUGGUCUGAGAUCACUACAGUGCAUGAUGUCAAGUACACGGUUUGGAUGGAGACCUGGACCCCAAGGAAAAGAAAUGGCUAUACAUCAAACUGUCUACGUUACAGAGAAAUCCAGGACGCAGCACAGCACUGGACUCGUGGGUAGCAGAUGGUCCAUUUCAACAGACUGUAAUUCUGUGACUACGUUUCCACCCUCAGACAUGCCCUUCUGUGGAAACUGUUGGUUGCUGCGAGAGAAAGCACACUCAAGCCCAGCUGGAAAGUCCCAGGAUUCAGUGGAUGGUCAACUCCACCACGGCUCUGCUCUGCUCAGCUUUCCCCAAAGGACUGGUCCCUGCAGAGGACAGCCCCUGUUCCCGAGCAGACACACGCAAGAGAAAAGAAGAAGAGAAGAAAGCAUUCAGGACAUGACACUUGGAGACCACUCCAUGCACGAGACUCACAGCUGAAGCAGCAAGAGGACCCCGGCACUCAGGGACACUUCUGCCGCAGUCUGCAAUGCAGUGGCCUAAUAGAGAAGAUGUCCCAGCAAUCUUGUGAGGACAGACCUAAUACAGAAGAUGUCCCAGCAAUCUCGUGAGGACAGACCUAAUACAGAAGAUGUCCCAGUGAUCUCUGGAGGACAGACCUAAUACAGAACACGUCCCAGCGAUCUCUGGAGGACAGACCUAAUACAGCAGAUGUCCCAGCAAUCUCGUGAGGACAGACCUAAUACAGAAGAUGUCCCAGCGAUCUCUGGAGGACAGACCUAAUACAGAAGAUGUCCCAGCAAUCUCUGGAGGACAGACCUAAUACAGAAGACGUCCCAGCGAUCUCUGGAGGACAGACCUAAUACAGAAGAUUUCCCAGCGAUCUCUGGAGGACAGAUUCCCCUUUUCCUUUCCUUCCUCUUCACAUCCCACUUUGUUCCCACUCCACUUUCUUCACCUUCUUCAAACAUAAAUGGCCCCAGACUCUGUUGCAGGCACCCAGACUGCAGCGGCGAGGGGGUCGGAACACAGGCUGGCAGCAUUCUGCACUGCAGACAAAGCCAUCCAAUACAAGGGAGCAGAGGGGCACAGUUGGCAGGGUGGGCAAUGAGAGAGAACAGCGGCACACGCAUGCCACUCUAAAGAGAAGCAGGGGCUGGCCAGAAGGCUCAGUGCUUGCCUGGUGCCCCAGCUUAAUCCCCAGAAGCUGCUAUGAAGUUGAAGAAGAGAGCAGGUCCCACAGGUUGUCCUCUGACUCCACAGGGGUGUGGGCACACGCUCCUCCCCCACAGCGUGCACACAGAUCCUCUGACUCCUCAGGGGUGUGGGCACACGCUCCUCCCCCACAGCGUGCACACAGAUCCUCUGACUCCUCAGGGGUGUGGGCACACAUUCCUCCCCCACAGCAUGCACACAGAUCCUCUGACUCCACAGGGGUCUCAGCACACGCUCCUCCCCCACACCGUGCACACAGAUCCUCUGACUCCACAGGGGUCUCAGCACACGUUCCUCCCCCACAUUAGGCACACAGAUCCUCUGACUCCACAGGGGUGUCUCAGCACACGCUCCUCCCCCACAGCAUGCACACAGAUCCUCUGACUCCUCAGGGGUGUGGGCACACGCUCCUCCCCCACAUUAGGCACACAGAUCCUCUGACUCCACAGGGGUGUCUCAGCACACAUU